UAACGAAUCUUCCGCAAUGGGCGAAAGCCUGACGGAGCGACGCCGCGUGUGGGAUGAAGAUCUUCGGAUUGUAAACCACUGUCAGGGAUUACCAAGCGAUGGGGACGAAUAGUCCCCGGAGUUGAGGACUCCCAGAGGAAGCCACGGCUAACUUCGUGCCAGCAGCCGCGGUAAGACGAAGGUGGCAAGCGUUGUUCGGAAUCACUGGGCUUAAAGAGCAUGUAGGCGGCUCAUCAAGCGUCUUGUGAAAUCCCUCGGCUCAACCGAGGAAUUGCGGGGCGAACUGAGUGGGCUAGAGGCAGGUAGGGGCGCGUGGAACGCUUGGUGGAGCGGUGGAAUGCGUAGAUAUCAAGAGGAACGCCAGAGGCGAAAGCGAUGCGCUGGGCCUGUCCUGACGCUGAGAUGCGAAAGCCAGGGGAGCAAACG
rnacentral:rRNA from 1 species